rnacentral:snRNA from 1 species
AUGCUUGCUUCAGCAGCACAUAUACUAAAAUUAGAAUGAUAUAGAGAACAUUAGCAUGGCCCCUGUGCAAGGAUGACACAUAAAUUCAUGACACAUCCCAUAUUCUU